UAUGCAUAUUGCGUAGUCAAAACAGAUCGUACGAUCCCACGUGGUAAUGUUUGUAAACAUUACUCGAAAUCCCGAUCUAGUAUAGUAGGAAUAUAUACAUCGACUAUACUAAAGUGGAAGUUAUUUAAAACCUAGACUAGUCUCAACAGUGACAUGUUUGGAUAACAGAACCAUAAAAAUAUCACAUCAGGUAUGGCUAAAAGUAUCUGUGUUUCCGCAGACAAGUCUGCCAUAGCCCAAUUUCAUUCUCCGGGAAAAGUCAAAAUACACCAUCAUGGAAGACAAAUAUCUAUUUAUCCGAAUAUAGAUGAAGAACAAGAGGUCGACACCAAUGAAACAAACGACCAGCAGGAAGCAGAUCAGGAUAAAUGAUAAACAUUCUAGAUCUUUCUCACCGAGAGACGUGUCCACCCACCAGGAAAAAACAUAGCGAUUGAAAGUACCGGAUAUGAAGCCAGCAAUGAUCAACCUUGUACAUAUUAUUUCAUUACUGUCUUGCCAUCUCGAGACCACGAUUCAAAGCAAUGAAUGUGACUGUUACAUGUAACUUGAAGUAGUUUUAUUUGACUAUAAAAGUAAACAUUGUGAUCCGAGAGAAUGAAAAGUUUGAAAAACAUUGACAUGGCAGUGUGUAAAUGUACAUGUAUAUCAAUUCUUUGUAAACCUACAUCAAAUAUGGCUUGAUGUAAUGAGCACACAGUGUUUGAAAUAGCUACACCAUUAUAGACUUUGUAAACCACUGUUGCACUGUUACACAUGGCGCUCUUAUUUAUAGCACUGUUGUAUGUUGCAUGUACGAUACGUGUUGUACGUUACAUGUUGUACGUUAUACAGGUUGUACGUUAUACAUGUUGUACGUUAAAUGUUGUACGUAAUAUGUUGUACGUUAUACAGGUUGUACGUUAUACAGGUUGUACGUUACAUGUUGAACGUUAUACAGGUUGUACGUUACAUGUUGUACGUUAUACAGGUUGUACGUUACAUGUUGUACGAUACGUGUUGUACGUUACAUGCUGUAAGAUAUUUCACGACUUCUUAAACUGUGUGGAAGAGAUAGCAGUUGCAUGAUUUAAUUUCAACGACAACAAAUUAUUCUACCAGUUUUGAAAAUUAAAUGUUGCAUGGAAUACUCA